UUCUCAACUGAGGGUGCGCAGAGUUCUUCCAGGGCAGUGGUUCUCAACCAGGGGCCCGGAGACCUCUGGGGAGCCGUGAGCAGGUUUCAGGGGGUUCGCCAAGCAGGGUCAGCAUUAGAGUCCCUGGGGCCCUCUGCAGAAAGCUGAAGCCCGAAGCUCGGAGCUGCACCACCUGGGGCUGAAGCCAAAGCCUGAGCAUCUUAGCUUUAUGGGGGCCCCUGUGGCAGGGGACCCUGGGCAAUUACCCUGCUUGCUGACCCCUAACAUCGGCCCUGGAUUUUAUAUGCAGAAAACCAGUUGUUGUGGCACAGAGUUGCUUUGUCUAAGCUGUGGAUAUCAGAAAUCAUACAAGAACUCAGCAUGCUGAAAUGUGAUUGUCAUGGCUGACGGCAUGGUCACAGAGCAUGAAUAAACACUAAUGUUAUCCUUC